UUUCUCUGUAAUUAAUAUUACCUGAUUAAGCUAAUCAGGUAAAUAAUUAACUAGAAAGUCGGGGAACCACAAAAUAAUGUUUGUAGAGCUGUUAUCUUCCGAAUAAACUCUUAAAGACCUAGUAAUCUUCUACAUCAAUAGCAGUCAAUAUUUAAUCUUCACCUUGUUUAGUCUCAUCUGAAAGUUGUAAAUUCUUGGUUAUCUUCAUGAACCCUGGCUAACAAAUUGAAUUAGCAAUACAAAAUUUGGUUUAAUUAUUUAUUUACUAAAUACCUAAAUAAUCGCACAGACUUACAUAUACACAGAAUCAAUCAUACAUUGAUGGACCUGGUGAACGGAGCCGAUAUAGCGGCUGGUUACACAAAGAAAAGGGGGAGGGGUUUGAGUGAAAGAGCGGAAAGACUGAGUAACAAAGGGAGAAGCUAUGCUAUCGUAAAUACAGUAUCUUAUGCAUUCUAAAUUACCGCCCAUUUGAAAAAGGAAAAUGCAAUAAAUAUUUAGUCUAAGCUGCGCUUAAUUAGAUUGGUCGUAAUUUCGUUAGGGCCCCCAAAAUUGGCUUAGUUCUGUAGGUGGUAUUUGUCUUUUCAACGUGGGAACCUCAAGUCCACACGUCGUUGGAACAGGUUAUUAUCUGAGCCCUUUUAACGUAGCACCGUCGCACUAACGUCCUCGGAACAGAAAGUUACAUUUUCGUCAAGGGGCUUAUAUAGGAUUGGGAGAGAGGGCUGUGUUUCAUAGUUUACAACCCAUGUCUGUUCACUUGGGCGGGGCCUCUGAGUGAGCAGAGUGGUGUUCUUCUGACAAACCGUUCUCUCAUUAAGAAGUUAAAAAUUACAUUUCAUCUUUUCACAAAUAGUUUAAUAUUUAAACAUUUAAAUUGCACAACAAUUCCAUGUGAAUCUGAUAAUUAGAAUAUGUAGAUUUUCCAAGAUACAGUUUAUGUCGUCCUAUCGUCAGUAAUCAUGUCUCAGACGUCAACUGAUCUGACAUCAUAUUCAUUAAGUCCCAUC
rnacentral:lncRNA from 1 species